rnacentral:rRNA from 1 species
AGGGCAUACGGUGGAUGCCUAGGCGCCAAGAGCCGAAGAAGGACGCGGUAAGCUGCGAAAAGCCACGGGGAACUGCAAGCAAGUAUUGAUCCGUGGAUAUCCGAAUGGGGAAACCCGGCCAUCGUCAUGGAUGGUCACCCGCAAGGGAGGGAACCUGGGGAACUGAAACAUCUAAGUACCCGGAGGAAGAGAAAUCAAACGAGAUGCCCACAGUAGCGGCGAGCGAAGAGGGCAGAGCCCAAACCGAGAAGCUCCGGCUUUUCGGGGUUGAGGACCGGCAGAAUCGAAGUCAGGCCUAGUUGAAUUACCUGGAAAGGUAAGCGAGAGAGGGUAAAAGCCCCGUAGACGAAAGGCAGAGCAGAGAGGCCGAGAUCCAGAGUACCACGAAGCACGAGGAAUUUUGUGGGAAGCAGGGGGGACCACCCUCCAAGGCUAAAAACUACUUGGCGACCGAUAGCGCAUAGUACCGUGAGGGAAAGGUGAAAAGAACCCCGGGAGGGGAGUGAAAUAGUACCUGAAACCGUAUGUCUACAAGCAGUCGAAGCGAAAGCGACGGCGUGCCUAUUGAAGAAUGAACCAACGAGUUAUCUGCACUAGCGAGGUUAAGUGGAAGACACGGAGCCGCAGCGAAAGCGAGUCUUAAGAGGGCGCUAGUUAGUGUAGGUAGACCCGAAACCGCAGUGAUCUACCCAUGUCCAGGUUGAAGCGCAGGUAAAAUUGCGUGGAGGACCGAACCGGUGAGCGUUGAAAAGCUUUCGGAUGAGAUGUGGGUAGGGGUGAAAUUCCAAUCGAACGCGGAGAUAGCUGGUUCUCCCCGAAAUAGCUUUAGGGCUAGCCUGAGGUAGUAAGUAUAGGCGGUAGAGCACUGAUCGGGCUAGGGGCCGUAAAGGUUACCGAACCCUGUCAAACUCCGAAUGGAUAUACUGUAGAGCCUUGGAGUCAGACUACGAGUGAUAAGAUCCGUGGUCAAAAGGGAAACAGCCCAGACCACCAGCUAAGGUCCCCAAUGUCGUACUAAGUGGAAAAGGAUGUGGGGUUUCAUAAACAACCAGGAUGUUGGCUCAGAAGCAGCCACCAUUUAAAGAGUGCGUAAUAGCUCACUGGUCGAGAGACCCUGCGCCGAAGAUUCCCGGGGCUAAAGUACGAAACCGAAGCUGUGGCUGUAUACGUAAAGUAUACGGGGUAGGGGAGCGUUCCCAUAGGGUAGAAGUCGAACUGGAAGGUUCGGUGGACUUGUGGGAAGUGAGAAUGUUGGUAUGAGUAGCGAAAAGAAAGGUGAGAAUCCUUUCCACCGAAAGCAUAAGGAUUCCUGAGCAACGAUCGUCGUCUCAGGGUAAGUCGGGACCUAAUCCGAGGCAGAGAGCGUAGGAGAUGGACAACUGGUUGAUAUUCCAGUACCGGUAGUAAUUGUUUGAGCAAUGGAGUGACACAGAAGGGCAGGCAAGCAUGCGAAUGGAAGAGCAUGUGUAAGCGUGUAGGGUGGUGCAUAGGCAAAUCCGUGCACUGAAAGCCUGAGGCGUGAUGCGGAGUGAGCAGAGAUGCGAGCGAAGUUGCUGACCCCACACUGUCGAGAAAAGCUUCUAGUGAGAGAGCUACCGCCCGUACCGUAAACCGACACAGGUAUGCGGGGAGAGAAUCCUAAGGUGCGCGGGAGAACCCUCGUUAAGGAACUCGGCAAAAUGUACCCGUAACUUCGGGAUAAGGGUAGCCACUGUUGUGAAGUCCCAUGCGGAUGGAGCAUAGAGUGGUCGCAGAGAAGAGGCCCAAGCGACUGUUUACCAUAAACACAGGUGCCUGCUAAAGCGAAAGCUGACGUAUAGGUGCUGACACCUGCCCAGUGCCGGAAGGUUAAGGAAGGAUGUUCGGAUUAGUCCAAAGCAUUCGACUGAAGCCCCGGUGAACGGCGGCCGUAACUAUAACGGUCCUAAGGUAGCGAAAUUCCUUGUCGGGUAAGUUCCGACCCGCACGAAAGGUGUAACGAUUUGGGCACUGUCUCAACGAGGGACCCGGUGAAAUUGAAAUACCUGUGAAGAUGCAGGUUACCCGCGACUGGACAGAAAGACCCCAUGGAGCUUUACUGUAACCUGACAUUGGGUUUUGAUACAUUACGUACAGGAUAGGUGGGAGGCUUGGAAAGUUGGACGCUAGUCUGGCUGGAGCCGACGUUGGGAUACCACCCUUGAUGUAUUGAAAUUCUAACCGCGAGAGUAACGAAAUCCGGGACAGUGUCAGGCGGGCAGUUUGACUGGGGCGGUCGCCUCCGAAAG